UAGCCAUAUAGUGGACAUGAAUUUAUGAGAUCCUUAAAUCGCUCUCAACAUUAAAAGAAGCUCUCAUCCUCUUUUUACGUAAAAUUCAUGAUUGCUUUUCUUGAGGUA